GACGAACGCUGGCGGCGUGCUUAACACAUGCAAGUCGAACGGAAAGGCCCUGCUUUUGUGGGGUGCUCGAGUGGCGAACGGGUGAGUAACACGUGAGUAACCUGCCCUUGACUUUGGGAUAACUUCAGGAAACUGGGGCUAAUACCGGAUAGGAGCUCCUGCUGCAUGGUGGGGGUUGGAAAGUUUCGGCGGUUGGGGAUGGACUCGCGGCUUAUCAGCUUGUUGGUGGGGUAGUGGCUUACCAAGGCUUUGACGGGUAGCCGGCCUGAGAGGGUGACCGGCCACAUUGGGACUGAGAUACGGCCCAGACUCCUACGGGAGGCAGCAGUGGGGAAUAUUACACAAUGGGCGGAAGCCUGAUGCAGCAACGCCGCGUGCGGGAUGACGGCCUUCGGGUUGUAAACCGAUUUCGCCUGUGACGAAGCGUGAGUGACGGUAAUGGGUAAAGAAGCACCGGCUAACUACGUG
rnacentral:rRNA from 1 species